rnacentral:lncRNA from 1 species
UAAAUAUAUACCAAGUUUCAGAUUGUAAUAAUACACAAUAUUUGGUACAAAACAGAGGUCAAUCAAGGCCGAGGCUAGCAUGGACAAGAAGGGUAGGUCUCCCAUGAUGGGAAAUGACUUUUUAACCAUGAGAUUUAUUAAUAAUAUAAGUAGUGGAUAGGAUUAAUUACCGGCAACUUGAGGGUCCACUGUUCUUCAGUUUAAUUUUUAUUUACAGUAAUGCCUACUUAUGUUUGAGUAAUUAAAAUUUGUCCAUGAUGAAUAUAACUCUUAUAUUUUUUAGGCAAAAUUACACUGCAGGUCCUUUAUCUUAUUUUUUUUGUAACACUUUGG